CCUUAGCAUCGCCGGCAUCGCCAUCAUCGCCGGCAUCGCCAUCAUCGCCGGCAUCGCCGGCAUCGCCAUCGUUUUGAAUAAAAAACGGCAAAAGAAAACAGGUUCUUACGGUGUAAAUCUGGAUUCCCAAAAGCAUCACAUUACAACAGAACAUGAUUUGGAGAUGAAUGAAACAAAAUCUAAUUUGAUCUCGACAGUAUAAAUGACUGAUGCUGGCUGAUGACUCUGGUUUACACAUUAACAGACAUUGGAAGAAAAUCAUGGAAAAGUUAGGAGAUAAAUGUCCUACAUUUGUACUGAAAUUUCUGUAGUGAAAAUAGACCCCUCUCAGGUAACUGCUGUUACUUUCGCUACAACUUCUUUCCUCUGUUGAGCUGCAUUUGAAUAAAGCAGAAAGACCGGAGAGAUCAUUGCUCUUGCCCUUGAAAAUGGCUUCUAAAGCAAGCAAGGCAGUUUGGCAGCAUCAAAAUUACUUGCUCUUCUGAACAUGCAGCUGGUUGCUUAUUUGGUCUCUCCAUAGUGCUAAACGUUUCCCCUUCAAGAACAUAGUCACCAUCAGAGCAUGGCAUGGUUUGGAUUGUGAGUUGUGGCUGUAACUGCAGACAGCAAGAGAGCCUCUUCAGAUUCCUUCUUACAACCUCCCAUCAUGGAGUAUGUAUUACUCUUUAAACACAAAUUUAAAGAUGACAGACACCAGGUGGAAUGUCGUAGAUUCUUCAUAAAAACAUCCAUCCUGGGUCAGACCAAUGGUCUAUCUAGCUAGGUGCUUCAAAGGGAAGGAGCAGAACAGGGCAGUUAUCGAGUGACCCAUCAUCCCCUGUCAGCCAGUCCCAGCUUCUGGCAAUCCGAGACUAGGGACACUCAGAGCAUGGGGUUGUAUCCCUGGCCAUCUUGGCUAUCGAUCUUGGGUAUCACAUUUGUUUCCUUGCAAUCCACUAGCACUUUCUUAUAAGAAGUAAGCAGUAAGUUCAAAAGUGUCCUCCUGAGAAGUUCUCCGGUGGUUUAGUGCCUACGUUAUUUUUAUAUGUUAGUUGUCAAAAACUGUCUUUGUAGAUCUUAAAAUAAGCUUUUUUUUAAUGUUCAGGAAAUGUUUCUCACUGCUGUUGAGAGGGGGUGUUUAUAAUCAAACACUUUGUCAUCUGUUUUAUAAGAUUUAAAGCUUUAAAAAGUUAUUUACAUCUUUUGUGUGACCGCAAGCUGCUUUGAGUUUUAUUUAGCAAUAAGAAAUCUUUUCCACAAAUGAAGAAACUAUAAUUGAAGAUGUGUGCUAUAUACUAUGUGUUAUUUGGAAUAGGCCUUUUUCUUAAAUAAAAGGGAUACUGAAUAAAGA